UCAUCUACCACCGGCAAAAACUGCACAGGAGAUGGUGGUGCUUCCAUCUUUUUCAUUGCCUCCACCGCCAUUGAAUCUGGACUGAUGGUUCUCGGCAUCCUGAAAUAACCCGAGGCUGUUAGUAAUUUGCAGAUAAAUUCUUGAGUUUCAAUCGAGGCCCGAAACCUGACCUUGAAGAUUAGACUCUUCCCGAUCCGACCCGCGGGGUGGUUCGCGGCGUAUUCUUCUUUGGUCAAGUUCCUGGCCCCCAUGAGCGCGAUCGCCACCGUAUCCCCGAAUACCAUCUGGAUAGCCGUCGAAGUCACCGGCGCCAGAUCGAACGGGCACAAUUCCCUCUCAAGCGGCAAAUGCACGUUCAUGUCGCAAGCCGCCGCGAGCGCAUUGCCCUCCACGGACGUGACAGAGGCGAGGUACGCGCCCUUAGCCCGCGCGCACGGAACGAGGCGGAGGAGCUCCUCGGUGGUUCCGGACUUGCUGAACAAGCCGAUGAUAUCGCGAGAUGUGAGAAUCCCGAUGUCUCCGUGGAGGGCGUCGACGGGGGAGAUGAAAGCGGAGCGGAUGCCGAGGGAGACAAGGGUCUGGGAGAUCUUGUUGGCGACGAAGCCGGACUUACCGACGCCAGUGAAGAAGACAGUUCCGGAGGCAGAGAGGAGGGUACGCGCGAAUGAUAGAGUUUGGGGGAGCGAGAGGUUGUGGAAGAAGAAGUUAAGGUGUUUCUGCUGGCAUUUGAAGAGGUUGAGGAGGGUAGUCUCGUCGAUUCGGGGGGGUGGAGGUUCGUUGUCGGACGGAGAGUGUUGUGGGAGCGAACCCAUUGUCUCCGGCUGACAUGCGAGAUCUGACGUUGAUGGCAUUAAUAGCGACGAGUGUAAAUUGUCGCCGCUAUUAUAUGUCGGUGUCUUUCUUCGCUGUAAUAAGUAAUAACAACUAUAUAGGCUUUGUCGGUAGCGGUGCAAAUGUUUGUAUGUUGUUGUACACCUGCAGACACGUGACAAGACGUGCAAUUUGAAGUCAGAAGUAGAAGUUUUAGGGAAAAAAAAUAAUAAAUUAUAUAUAUUAAUAGUAA